CCUACGGGAGGCAGCAGUGGGGAAUUUUGGACAAUGGGCGCAAGCCUGAUCCAGCAAUGCCGCGUGAGUGAAGAAGGCCUUCGGGUUGUAAAGCUCUUUUGUCAGGGAAGAAACGGCUGAGGCUAAUAUCCUCGGCUAAUGACGGUACCUGAAGAAUAAGCACCGGCUAACUACGUGCCAGCAGCCGCGGUAAUACGUAGGGUGCAAGCGUUAAUCGGAAUUACUGGGCGUAAAGCGUGCGCAGGCGGUUUUGUAAGUCUGUCGUGAAAGCCCCGGGCUUAACCUGGGAAUUGCGAUGGAGACUGCAAGGCUUGAAUCUGGCAGAGGGGGGUAGAAUUCCACGUGUAGCAGUGAAAUGCGUAGAGAUGUGGAGGAACACCGAUGGCGAAGGCAGCCCCCUGGGUCAAGAUUGACGCUCAUGCACGAAAGCGUGGGGAGCAAACAGGAUUAGAUACCCUGGUAGUCCACGCCCUAAACGAUGUCUACUAGUUGUCGGGUCUUAAUUGACUUGGUAACCGNAGCGUACGCGUGAGUAGACCGCCGNGGGUAAGGUACGGUCGCGAAGUAAGUUAAAACGUUAAAGUUAAGUUAAGUUAGUUACGGCGUUGAGACGUUAGCCGACGGACGACGACGAGGGAGGAGGAG
rnacentral:rRNA from 1 species